rnacentral:rRNA from 1 species
AGUCGGUUCGCAGCGGGCGAUGAGGCCUUGCGGAAGGUAGCUCGGAGCUUGCUCUGAGUGUUAUAGACGCAGGUGCUGGGUCCGCUGCGGACCGAGGAGAGAGAGUAUCGUUGCAGCGCAUGCCGCAAGGCUAGCUACCCGCUGUCUGGCUCGCUUCACGAACUGAGGACUGCACGCAGUGCUCGGAUUGGCGGAGUGGUCAGGCGGUGGAGUGGUAUAAAUGCGCUUAGGACGCUGGCGUCCAAAUGGCCGUGCGCGACCCGUCUUGAAACACGG